rnacentral:rRNA from 1 species
AUUGAACGCUGGCGGCAGGCUUAACACAUGCAAGUCGAACGAGUGGCGGACGGGUGAGUAAUGCUUGGGAAUCUAGCUUAUGGAGGGGGAUAACUACGGGAAACUGUAGCUAAUACCGCGUAACAUAGGAUGAGCCCACGUGGGAUUAGGUAGUGGGUGAGUGAAAGGCUCACCAAGCCGACGAUCUCUAGCUGGUCUGAGAGGAUGACCAGCCACACUGUAACUUAGACACGGUCCAGAAUCCUACGGGAGGCAGCAGUGGGGAAUAUUGCACAAUGGGCGCAAGCCUGAUACAGCCAUGCCGCGUGUAUGAAGAAGGCCUUCGGGUUGUAAAGUACUUUCAGCGAGGAGGCGUUACUCGCAGAGGAAGCACCGGCUAACUCCGUGCCAGCAGCCGCGGUAAUAC